GGUGACCUCGAUCAGUAGAGCCA
rnacentral:rRNA from 1 species